UACGUAGGGGGCAAGGCGUUGUCCGGAAUCAUUGGGCGUAAAGAGCGUGUAGGCGGCCCGAUAAGUCCGCUGUGAAAGCCCGGGGCUCAACCCCGGGUCUGCCGUGCGAACUGCUAUGGCUUGAGCACUGUAGAGGCAGGUAGAAUUCCGGGUGUAGCGGUGGAAUGCGUAGAGAUCCGGAAGAAUACCGGUGGCGAAGGCGGCCUGCUGGGCAGUGGCUGACACUGAGGCGCGGACAGCGUGGGGAGCAAACAGG
rnacentral:rRNA from 1 species